rnacentral:lncRNA from 1 species
AUUUAAACUAGAGGCUCUAAAGAGCCUGUGUCGCUCACCUUGGUCUAUGUGCAUAUUAAACAAAGGACACAAAUGGAUUCAUGACAAAAUUGUAUUUUGGUGAUGGUGAUGUGUUUGAAGUUCUUACUUUACUGAACGAUUUUGCUUCUUACAAUUAUAUCUAUAAUGAACUUUGCCCAUUAGUAACAGAAGACUAUAUUUGGUAAAAAUUUACAUAAAUUUACCAAAUUAAUGAAAAUUGUUAAAAAUUGACUAUAAAGGGCAAUAACUCCUUAAGGGGUCAAUUGACCAUUUAGGUCAUGUUGACUUAUUUGUAGAUCUUACUUUGCUGAACAUUAUUGCUGUUUACAGUUUAUCGCUAUCUAUAAUAGUAUUCAAGAUAACCAAAAACGGCAAAACUUCUUUAAAAAUUACCAAUUGGAGGGCAGCAACCCAACAACCAGUUGUCCAAUUCAUCUGAAAAAUUCAGGGCAGAUAGAUAUUGACUUGAUUAACAAUUUAACUUCUUGUCAGAUUUGCUCUAGAUGCUUUGGUUUCAUAGUUAUAAGCCAAAAACUGCAUUUUACCCCUAUGUUCUAUUUUUAGCCGUGGCGGCCAUCUUGGUUGAAUGGCCAGGUCAUCGGACACAUUUUUCAAGCUAGAUACCCCAAAGAUGAUUGUGGCCUAGUAGUUUCAGUGGAGAUUUUGUAAAAGAUUACUUAGAUUUAUGAAAAAUGGUUAAAGAUUGACUAUAAAGGGCAAUAACUCCUAAAGGGGUCAACUGACCAUUUUGGUCAUGUUGACUUAUUUGUAGAUCUUACUUUGCUGAACAUUAUUGCUGUUUACAAUUUAUCUCUAUCUAUAAUAAUAUUCAAGAUAAUAACCAAA